rnacentral:rRNA from 1 species
GACGAACGCUGGCGGCGUGCUUAACACAUGCGAGUCGUACGGUAAGGCCCUUUCGGGGGUACACGAGUGGCGAACGGGUGAGUAACACGUGAGUAACCUGCCCACAACUUUGGGAUAACGCUAGGAAACUGGUGCUAAUACUGGAUAUGUGCUCCUGCUGCAUGGUGGGGGUUGGAAAGCUCCGGCGGUUGUGGAUGGACUCGCGGCCUAUCAGCUUGUUGGUGGGGUAGUGGCCUACCAAGGCGGCGACGGGUAGCCGGCCUGAGGGGGUGACCGGCCACAUUGGGACUGAGAUACGGCCCAGACUCCUGCGGGAGGCAGCAGUGGGGAAUAUUGCACAAUGGGCGCAAGCCUGAUGCAGCAACGCCGCGUGCGGGAUGACGGCCUUCGGGUUGUAAACCGCUUUCAGCAGGGACGAAGCUUUUUGUGACGGUACCUGCAGAAGAAGCACCGGCUAACUACGUG